GAACGGGUGAGUAACACGUGGGUGAUCUGCCCUGCACUUUGGGAUAAGCCUGGGAAACUGGGUCUAAUACCGAAUAGGACCACGCGCUUCAUGGUGUGUGGUGGAAAGCUUUUGCGGUGUGGGAUGGGCCCGCGGCCUAUCAGCUUGUUGGUGGGGUAAUGGCCUACCAAGGCGACGACGGGUAGCCGGCCUGAGAGGGUGACCGGCCACACUGGGACUGAGAUACGGCCCAGACUCCUACGGGUGGCAGCAGUGGGGAAUAUUGCACAAUGGGCGCAAGCCUGAUGCAGCGACGCCGCGUGAGGGAUGACGGCCUUCGGGUUGUAAACCUCUUUCAAUAGGGACGAAGCGCAAGUGACGGUACCUAUAGAAGAAGCACCGGCCAACUACGUGCCAGCAGCCGCGGUAAUACGUAGGGUGCGAGCGUUGUCCAGAAUUACUGGGCGUAAAGAGCUCGUAGGUGGUUUGUCGCGUUGCUCGUGAAAACUCACAGCUUAACUGUGGGCGUGCGGGCGAUACGGGCAGACUAGAGUACUGCAGGGGAGACUGGAAUUCCAGGUGUAGCGGUGGAAUGCGCAGAUAUCAGGAGGAACACCGGUGGCGAAGGCGGGUCUCUGGGCAGUAACUGACGCUGAGGAGCGAAAGCGUGGGGAGCGAACAGGAUUAGAUACCCUGGUAGUCCACGCCGUANACGGUGGGUACU
rnacentral:rRNA from 1 species